rnacentral:tRNA from 1 species
AGGGACUUAGGUACACUUAAGAUCAAGAGCCUUCAAAGCCCUAAGAGGAGGUUGAAAUCCUCCAGCCCCUG